AAGGUAGCGAAAUUCCUUGUCGGGUAAGUUCCGACCUGCACGAAUGGCAUAAUGAUGGCGGCGCUGUCUCCAGCAGAGACUCAGUGAAAUCGAAAUCGCAGUGAAGAUGCUGUGUACCCGCGGCUAGACGGAAAGACCCCAUGAACCUUUACUGUAGCUUUGUAUUGGACUUUGAACGGAUCUGUGUAGGAUAGGUGGGAGGCUUUGAAGCAGGCACGCCAGUGUCUGUGGAGCCAUCCUUGAAAUACCACCCUGGUAAUGUUGGGGUUCUAACUCAAGCUUAACAGAGCUGAGGACAAUGUAUGGUGGGUAGUUUGACUGGGGCGGUCUCCUCCUAAAGAGUAACGGAGGAGUACGAAGGUGCGCUCAGAACGGUCGGAAAUCGUUCGAAGAGUAUAAAGGCAAAAGCGCGCUUAACUGCGAGACCCACAAGUCGAGCAGAUACGAAAGUAGGUCUUAGUGAUCCGGUGGUUCUGUAUGGAAGGGCCAUCGCUCAACGGAUAAAAGGUACUCUGGGGAUAACAGGCUGAUACCGCCCAAGAGUUCAUAUCGACGGCGGUGUUUGGCACCUCGAUGUCGGCUCAUCUCAUCCUGGGGCUGAAGCAGGUCCCAAGGGUAUGGCUGUUCGCCAUUUAAAGUGGUACGCGAGCUGGGUUUAGAACGUCGUGAGACAGUUCGGUCCCUAUCUACCGUGGGCGUUGGAAAUUUGAGAGGAUCUGCUCCUAGUACGAGAGGACCAGAGUGGACGAACCUCUGGUGUUUCGGUUGUGACGCCAGUCGCAUUGCCGAGUAGCUAUGUUCGGAUGGGAUAACCGCUGAAAG
rnacentral:rRNA from 12 species